GCUAAAUACUGGCACGAGUCCGAUAGCGAACAAGUACCGUGAGGGAAAGUUGAAAAGUACUUUGAAGAGAGAGUAAACAGUUCGUGAACCCGCUCAGAGGUAAACGGGUGGAGUUGAACUGGAAGCCCUGGGGAUUCAGCUGAUGAGUAUGGCAUGAGCUUGGGCAUAUUGGUCGGCUUUCAGAGUCCGCUUAGCUGCGGGUCCAUGCCUUAAUGGGUGUGGAUGUGCGUUGCGCUCAUAAGGCGUUGUGCGCUCUGUCUGUUCCGGGCCUGCUCGUCAGUGCACUUCCUCAGGGUGUUCACCACGACCGGCGCUGCUGUCUGUCUGUCGCAGUCAAACCGGCUAGGAUUAGUCAUUUUGGCUAAGCUUGGUCGGGAUGGCAGGUGGCUCUUGGGUUUUGCUGGCUUCGGCUGGUCUUGGCCUUUGAGUGUAAUUAGCCGAUUGCGAUGGGUCUGUGCGGUGCGUCGGAGCUGGCGGCUCUGGUGUGUGUACGCGUGCUGUGCCUUGCUGGCCUGGUCGAGUCUGGUUGAUGUGUUACCUGCUUCGGUGGGUCUAUUGAUGGCUUGACCUUGCAUGGUGAGUGGUUGCGUGUGCGACACUGGCUAGGGCCAAAAGUCUGUGGUGUUGUGGUAAACGAUCCACCCGACCCGUCUUGAAACACGGACCAAGGAGUUUAACAUGUACGCGAGUCAUUGGGCGUUACGAAACCCAAAGGCGCAGUGAAAGUAAAGGUUCGGCUUGUCCGAGCUGAGGUGAGAUCCUGCUGUUUCUCUGCCUUGGACUACCAAGCAUUCGAGCAGUGGGCGCAUCACCAGCCCGUCUCAUGACGUAGGCAUGUAUGUGCAUCGUCGGGGCGGAGCUAGAGCGUACACGUUGAGACCCGAAAGAUGGUGAACUAUGCCUGCGGAGGUUGAAGCCAGAGGAAACUCUGGUGGAGGACCGCAGCGAUUCUGACGCGCAAAUCGAUCGUCUAACGUGGGUAUAGGGGCGAAAGAC
rnacentral:rRNA from 1 species